ensembl:lncRNA
GAAAAUCUUUGAACCGGGUUGAUGCAUGGAUCUGAAUCUACUUGUUCCUGGGCUUUAAAAGUUGGAAUUCCACUCCAUUGGAAUGACCUUGCAUCUGGGAAAGACUUUCAGCACUGACAGAAGAGCAUCCUCCUAAGGAGUACAGUCAACUCUACAUCAUGUCUGUGAGGAUAUGCUCAUCGGCUAUAGUACAUGAUAUGCUGUGUUGCUCCCAUAAAACAGAUGCUGCAAGGGAACAAAAAGGCAUGAAUUUAUUUCUAAUGUUGGAAAUAUUGAUCUAGCAGAAGAAUAGUGCAUUCAUAACCAAAAUAUCUGUAAUUUUCACUAGCAGUGCAGAUUGAAAACCAUUUAUAUUGCAAACUAUGGUAUGAAGAUGGACCCAGCUUUAGGGAGACUUUAUUUUCAAUUGUCUUAAGCACGUUUAAAACCAUUUAAUUUGUCUUUUUUAGGAUUUUUGUAUACUGAUUGUUCAUCAAUAUUUAAUUCUUUAUUUUCUGGGGAAUUUAACUCUAAAUGCUGUGCAUUAAUUUAAAUCAACUAAGAUCUAUCUAGCAUAUUUAGACCAGUAGGUUUUGACAGUCAUUUUGAGAAAUUAUUUUCUGAGAGCAGACAUUUCUGUAGCAAGUCAUUUCCAGUAUUACUGUUAGGGCCCUUGUUAUUAUUUACAUUUAUCUACCACUGAAAUCGAGUUCCUUGAAGGCUUAUUUUUAAUCUCCUUUGUAUUCAGUACAGGGCUCACUCUGCUGCUCUAAAAGACAGAAUUUAUCUGGAUUGUCAUGUCUUCUUACAGUGUUGGGCAAACUGGUAGGGUCAGUGACAUUUUGAUUGCUGUUAGCCAACAAUAUCAUAAUCUAAGAUGAUGUCUUUCAAUGUUUACAGAAGGAUCGGUGUGAAGUAGUGGUCGCAU